UAGCUCGGCCAACCAUUUGCUCGCCCAGCCAACCUCCCAGAUGUGAAGCCGCGCCAUGCCGUCACUCGUCUAGAUCCUCCGUCGUAAAUCUCCUCUACCACGUGCCCUUCUGCACACCGACCUCACCAGAUCCAUCACCGUCGUCCACGUUCGCCCAACGCCGCUUUGCCCCUGUCAUCGUCUUGGGUGCCGUAAGAUCUGUUUGGGUAAUUGUGGACUAUUGUUAAUUAGAUUUCAUGGCCGAUGGUGUUUUGCUUCAAUCUAUUGAUACACAUUUGUUUGGACUUUAAAAUCGAGUUUUGGAGAAGCGUUGGAGUUAACACUAUGCUGUCAAGAGGAUUUGGAAGUGGUUUCGACAAGCUUUUGGUUGUGAUAUAAAAGGUUGGAAUUGAAGGUUCAAAGGGGUUGUCCAUCAAGAGUAAAGGUUGGAUUUGUGACUAGAGUUGUUUGGUUGUAUUGAUUUUGUAGCAUGAGGUGAUGUUCGGACCAACACACUUUGGGCCUGAUUCACGAUUCAUCUAAGCUAGAAGGAAGAUUAUUUUGCUUGUCGUUUAGAUAUAAUUUUGAGUAAGGGCACUGACGAAUGAUAAGAGGAAUCCUUGAACGAGCUACUAGGACCAGUUUUAUGCUUCCGCUCAUGAGAUUUAGAAUUCUUUUCAUGUUUUUCUUAACUUCCAAUUUUGAUGUUUGAAACUUACUAUUAAGAAUUG